CCCCGCUGAAACUUAAGCAUAUCAAUAAGCGGAGGAAAAGAAACUAACAAGGAUUCCCCUAGUAACGGCGAGUGAAGCGGGAAAAGCUCAAAUUUGAAAUCUGGCGGUCUACGGCCGUCCGAGUUGUAGUCUAGAGAGGUGUCUUCUGCGCCGGACCAUGCACAAGUCCCUUGGAACAGGGCGUCAUAGAGGGUGAGAAUCCCGUCCGUGGCAUGGACUCCCGGUGCUUUGUGAUGCGCCUUCGAAGAGUCGAGUUGUUUGGGAAUGCAGCUCAAAAUGGGUGGUAAAUUCCAUCUAAAGCUAAAUACAGGCGAGAGACCGAUAGCGAACAAGUACCGUGAGGGAAAGAUGAAAAGCACUUUGGAAAGAGAGUUAAACAGUACGUGAAAUUGUUGAAAGGGAAACGCUUGGAGUCAGUCGCGUUUGCUGGGACUCAGCCUUGCUUUUGCUUGGUGCAUGUCCUGGUACACGGGCCAGCAUCGAUUUUGGUUGCCGGAAAAAGGCUUGGGGAAGGUGGCACCUUCGGGUGUGUUAUAGCCCCUUGUUGUAUACGGUGGCUGGGAUCGAGGACCGCAGCACGCCUUUUGGUCGGGGUUUACCCACGCCACGUGCUUAGGAUGCUGGCGUAAUGGCUUUAAACGACCCGUCUUGAAACACGGACCAAGGAGUCUAACAUGCCUGCGAGUGUUUGGGUGUAAAACCCAGGCGCGUAAUGAAAGUGAAAGGUUGGGACUCUUCGCUGAGGCACCGACGCCCGAUCCUGAAGUUCUCUGAUGGAUUUGAGGUAGAGCAUGUAUGUUGGGACCCGAAAGAUGGUGAACUAUGCCUGAAUAGGGCGAAGCCAGAGGAAACUCUGGUGGAGGCUCGUAGCGAUUCUGACGUGCAAAUCGAUCGUCAAAUUUGGGUAUAGGGGCGAAAGACUAAUCGAACCAU
rnacentral:rRNA from 1 species